UACGUAGGGGCCGAGCGUUGUCCGGAGUUAUUGGGCGUAAAGCGCGCGCAGGCGGCCUCGCGCGCCCGACGUGAAAGCCCCCGGCUUAACCGGGGAGGGUCGUUGGGGACGGCGGGGCUUGAGGGCGGGAGAGGUCGGUGGAAUUCCCGGUGUAGUGGUGAAAUGCGUAGAUAUCUGGAGGAACACCGGUGGCGAAGGCGGCAUCCUGGACCGGCAUUGACGCUGAGGCGCGAAAGCCAGGGGAGCAAACGGG
rnacentral:rRNA from 1 species